rnacentral:rRNA from 1 species
CGUCUCAGUUCGGAUUGUAGUCUGCAACCCGACUACAUGAAGCUGGAAUCGCUAGUAAUCGCGAAUCAGAAUGUCGCGGUGAAUACGUUCCCGGGUCUUGUACACACCGCCCGUCACACCAUGGGAGUNAGUAACGCCCGAAGCCGGUGACCCAACCGAUAAGGAGGGAGCCGUCGAAGGUGGGACCGAUAACUGGGGUGAAGUCGUAACAAGGUAAC